ACUCCUACGGGAGGCAGCAGUGGGGAAUAUUGCACAAUGGGCGCAAGCCUGAUGCAGCCAUGCCGCGUGUGUGAAGAAGGCCUUCGGGUUGUAAAGCACUUUCAGUCGUGAGGAAGGUAGUGUAGUUAAUAGCUGCAUUAUUUGACGUUAGCGACAGAAGAAGCACCGGCCAACUACGUGCCAGCAGCCGCGGUAACACGUAGGGUGCGAGCGUUGUCCGGAAUUAUUGGGCGUAAAGAGCUCGUAGGCGGUGUGUCGCGUCGGCCGUGAAAACUUGGGGCUUAACUCUGAGCGUGCGGUCGAUACGGGCAUCACUUGAGUUCGGCAGGGGAGACUGGAAUUCCUGGUGUAGCGGUGAAAUGCGCAGAUAUCAGGAGGAACACCGGUGGCGAAGGCGGGUCUCUGGGCCGAUACUGACGCUGAGGAGCGAAAGCAUGGGGAGCGAACAGGAUUAGAUACCCUGGUAGGCUCUG
rnacentral:rRNA from 1 species